rnacentral:rRNA from 1 species
AUUGGACGCUGGCGGAAUGCUUUACACAUGCAAGUCGAGCGGCAGCGCGGCCUUCGGGCUGGCGGCGAGCGGCGAACGGGUGAGUAAUGCAUCGGAACAUGCCCAGUCGUGGGGGAUAACACUUCGAAAGAAGUGCUAAUACCGCAUACGUCCUGAGGGGGAAAGCGGGGGAUCGCAAGACCUCGCGCGAUUGGAGUGGCCGAUGUCAGAUUAGCUAGUUGGUGGGGUAAAGGCCUACCAAGGCGACGAUCUGUAGCUGGUCUGAGAGGAUGAUCAGCCACACUGGGACUGAGACACGGCCCAGACUCCUACGGGAGGCAGCAGUGGGGAAUUUUGGACAAUGGGGGCAACCCUGAUCCAGCCAUUCCGCGUGAGUGAAGAAGGCCUUCGGGUUGUAAAGCUCUUUCGGCAGGAACGAAACGGUGGGCUCUAACAUAGUCCGCUAAUGACGGUACCUGAAGAAGAAGCACCGGCUAACUACGUG